CAGCCGCUCCGCGGCAUGUGGGAUCUUCCCGGACCGGGGCACGAACCCGCGUCCCCCGCAUCGGCAGGCGGACUCUCAACCACUGCGCCACCAGGGAAGCCCCAGAACUUUUCUGAUUUUUCGAACGAUGUCCUCGGGGAGCCUAACUGGAGGGCGGCGGGCGGCUGCGUCCACGCGGGCCUCAGGGCGGGCGCCGUGGCCUUGUGUCCGAGUUUGGGGACCGAGGCCCGAGGACCGCGUGCGUCUUCGUCCGGCCGGGCAGCCGCCGUCUCGGGACCCCUGACCCCGGGCUCGCCGCCGGGAGUGAGCACCCCCCGAGAGAACUAGAGGGUAGACACACUCGCUUUUGGAGACGGGAGCAGCAUCCCAACCCGAGGUUAAGAGCCAGUCUGGGUUGCAAGCUAGUGAAGGGUGGCCAGCGCGUGAUCACCGUAUGGGAGCCCGAGCAUCGGCCUGCUCCGAGGCUGUGCUGCGGCAGGGGCAGAAUUUGAAGUCCAAAGGAACAAGGGCAGCCAUCAGCUUGGGCCCUGAAAACCUGGGCCUCCCGCAUUUGGUGUAGAAACACCUUGUGCUCAGUAUCAGAGGGACAUUCUUACCAAUGAGAGCCAAGAAAUGGACUUUCUGGGACCGCGUGGACUGGCAUUUCUGGUGUCACUAAGUUCAUGAGGUUUCUUGUAUCGUCCCUUAACCAAAAGGAGCUUUUGUACUUUUAAAUAUUGUAUAAGUGUGUUCUUGGGUGAGCGCCUGAGGUUUUUGAACUGGAAACUUCCUGAAAUUUGUAUCUCCAUGCAGUUAACCAUCAACAAUGUAAUAAAAGUAUGGUCUUUGGUAUUGGUU